rnacentral:rRNA from 1 species
UACGUAGGAUCCGAGCGUUGUCCGGAUUUACUGGGUGUAAAGGGUGCGCAGGCGGACUGGUAAGUCAGAGGUGAAAAUCUCGUCGCUUAACGACGAAACUGCCUUUGAUACUAUCAGUCUUGAAUCCGGUAGAGAUCUGUGGAAUUCCGAGUGUAGCAGUGAAAUGUGUAGAUAUCGGAAGAACACCAGUGGCGAAGGCAGCAGAUUGGGCCGGUAUUGACGCUCAGGCACAAAGCAUGGGGAUCAAACAGG